rnacentral:RNase_P_RNA from 1 species
AUACUUUGACAAACGCGCUAUUCUUGUAAUGGUGAGGAAAGUCCUUGCUCACACAGUCUGCGAUGAUUGUAGUGUUCAUGCUAGAGGAAUUUUACUAACUCUAGGUAACUAGUAAUAGUUAACGGCGAUGAGGAUAUCUAAGUCUUUGAUAUGAUAUUAGUAGUUGUAAAGUGCCACAGUGACGAUUGCUUUGGGAAACUAAAGUAUGAAACGCGGUAAACCCCAUGAGUGAGAAAUCCAAAAUUGGUAGGAGAGCUUUAACAAAGGAAUUUGAACAGAGUUAAAGACCAGAGAUGGUAGAUAAAUGUUUGUCACCUAGAAAUAGGUACAGAACGAGGCUUAUAAAG